rnacentral:rRNA from 1 species
AACGCGAAGAACCUUACCUGGGCUCGAAAUGUAGGGGACGAUGACAGAGAUGUCAUUUCCCGCAAGGGCUCCUAUAUAGGUGCUGCAUGGCUGUCGUCAGCUCGUGCCGUGAGGUGUUUGGUUAAGUCCAGCAACGAGCGCAACCCUUAUCGUUAGUUGCCAGCGCGUGAAGGCGGGAACUCUAACGAGACUGCCUGGGUUAACCAGGAGGAAGGUGAGGAUGACGUCAAGUCCGCAUGGCCUUUAUGUCCAGGGCUACACACGUGCUACAAUGGUAGGUACAGAAGGCAGCGAAACCGUAAGGCGGAGCAAAUCCUGUAAAACCUAUCUCAGUUCAGAUUGUAGUCUGCAACUCGGCUACAUGAAGUUGGAAUUGCUAGUAAUGGCGUGUCAGCAACAACGCCGUGAAUACGUUCCCGGGCCUUGUACACACCGCAUAC